rnacentral:sRNA from 1 species
AGAAAAGUGAAAAGUAAAGAGAGUUGAGUAGGAUGAUUCCCGCUUAGGGUGUGAGAGGUUCCUAGUUCGUUCGCCGAAUGCAGUUUUCGUUUUCUUUGACGAUUUGGAAGCUGACAAGCUUGACUUAACUUGGUAUUUGCUGUAGUCAAAUACCAAUCGACGAGCACCAGGCACAAAGACAUGCACUAAAUUCCACCCUGUUUGCCAGAAGCAAUACUUGCAAUCAGUUUUUUCCACAAGAACCGUAGAAGAUGUGAACUAGUCUUAUCAAUCUGGCAGAAUUAGCCUUUACAGUUGAACAUCUAGGAAGAUUCCCAAGAGGCACGCAGAUGUUACGCUGAUUUUUGUAUCUGUCCCAUGGUUUGCAAGCGACAGUUACAACACCGAAAUAGUGUCUUUGCAGAUGAGAACCAAGACAGGUUGGCAUGAAGCACCGAGCAGCUGCUUGGGUUUCUGUAUCUCUCCCACAAGUUUUCAAGCAACAGUCCCGACACCAAGAUGCUGGUUUGUGAUCGUGUCUAUGUAUGACAUUUGAACCUACAUUCUACAAUGAAGUAAUAUUGCUAAAUUAACUAUUGUUAUUUUAAAUUUAACAUGGAAGAAGGUUGUGAAUUGUUUCCAUGGUGCCUGCCACCCAAAACUAUAAUAUAGUUGUUUUUUUUAAGUAAUAAAACCCAUUAGAAAUUAUGAAGUAUCUUAUUUUCUAGUUUAUAACACUCAGAUUGAAU